rnacentral:rRNA from 1 species
GACGAACGCUGGCGGCGUGCUUAACACAUGCAAGUCGAACGGAAAGGCCCUGCUUUUGUGGGGUGCUCGAGUGGGGAACGGGUGAGUAAGACGUGAGUAACCUGCCCUUGACUUUGGGAUAACUUCAGGAAACUGGGGUUAAUACCGGAUAGGAGCUUCUGCUGCAUGGUGGGGGUGGGAAAGUUUCGGCUGUGGGGGAUGGACUCGCGGCUUAACAGCUUGUUGGGGGGGUAGUGCCUUACCAAGGCUUUGACGGGUAGCCGGCCUGAGAGGGUGACCGGCCACAUUGGGACUGAGAUACGGCCCCGACGCCUACUAGAGGCAGCAGUGGGGAAUCUUGCACAAUGGGCGGCAGCCUGAUGCAGCAACCCCGCGUGCGGUAUAGCGGCCUUCGGGUUGUAAACCGCUUUCGCCUUUGACGAAGCGUUAGUGACCGUAACGGGUAGAAAAGACCCGGCUAACUACGUG